CGACCCUGAACACUGCCUUGGCACAGGAAGCAUAUGACAAAGAUGUCACAAUAAAAUGAGACGAGACGAAGUGUAUAAAACCUGUAGCGAGAAAUGUCCAGCCGACAAUAGUGGAGUCCCUUGAGAUAAUGAGCAGAUCGCGAACUGAAAGUUUGGUGAACAAUAGACUUGAUUGGGAACCCUCGAUGGCAUGGAAAUAUAGCAUGUGUAAUAAAAGGGAAGAAAGGAAUGAAAUAGCAGAAUUACCGACAAGAAAUAGCCAGUUAGAAAGGGGACCGAGAGCAUCAAGAAGGGAGGAAAGGGGGGAUCAUGAACAGAGAAGGAAGGAUAAUACUAUGCGGCGUAAAACCUAGUAGAAUAAUGGGAACUAUUUUUCGAUGUC
rnacentral:lncRNA from 1 species